rnacentral:misc_RNA from 1 species
CCAAUAGCGUAUAUUAAAGUUGUUGUGGUUAAAAAGCUCGUAGUUGAACCUUGGGCCUGGCUGGCCGGUCCGCCUCACCGCGUGUACUGGUCCGGCCGGGCCUUUCCCUCUGUGGAACCUCAUGCCCUUCACUGGGUGUGACGGGGAAGCAGGACUUUUACUGUGAAAAAAUUAGAGUGCUCCAAGCAGGCCUAUGCUCGAAUACAUUAGCAUGGAAUAAAAAAAUAGGACGUGCGGUUCUAUUUUGUUGGUUUCUAGGACCGCCGUAAUGAUUAAUAGGGACAGUCGGGGGCAUCAGUAUUCAAUUGUCAGAGGUGAAAUUCUUGGAUUUAUUGAAGACUAACUACUGCGAAAGCAUUUGCCAAGGAUGUUUUCAUUAAUCAGGAACGAAAGUUAGGGGAUCGAAGACGAUCAGAUACCGUCGUAGUCUUAACCAUAAACUAUGCCGACUAGGGAUCGGACGAUGUUAUUUUUUUAAUGACUCGUUUGGCACCUUACG